GGAAUAAGUGCUGUAUAUUUUGAACUGGGGAUCUGAAAAUCUAAGGAAUGCUUCAUGUACUGCUCUGCUUUCUAAUUCUGAUUCACACAGGAGUCCUGUCUUCAUUACACCAAUACACUGUCCACUUGAAGUACUGCAGUAAGUCAGAGUGCUCUUGCAAAUGAUGCUUUUUCCCUUGUCAAGGAAUGCUCUGCAGUUUUGUACUCUCCUGGGUUGUAAAAUCUGAAAUCAAAUGCUGUUUCCCAUCAAGCAGGAAGGGGGCACUCGGUGUGACCAUCUCCAAGCAUCUCUUGAUGGCGUCAGUUUAAGCUCUGCCACCCAAGGGUUUCCUCAUCCCGUGUCAUCCAGAAUGUCCAGGGAUGUCUGUGCCUCAAGAAUAUAAAGAAUUUACCCCUAUCCAGAUAUUUCUUGAACACUGAAUGUGUUGAGAUGAGAUCACAUAUCAUAUUUUCGGCUGUCUUUCAGGUAUAUCUUCAUUUAAAAGUUGCUUGUUUCUUUUUUUGAUGUUGAAGAACUCCAGAACUGCCAUGAUUUAUAACAAGA
rnacentral:lncRNA from 1 species